UGUUGUUUUGUCUACAUGUUCUAGUAUGUAAUAUCCCAAAAAGAUUUAUAUAUAUUCAAGAAUCCACUGUUCUUGCCACUCAGCUGUAUGCAGAUGAGGGCAUGUAGUGUCAAUAACAGGGUACACACUAAAAUCAGUUGAUUUUGCCUCUUUUCACUCUGUAAUGAAGAAUGGAAUAAUUUUGGUGGAGAGUACAUAUUAUGCUGGCAGUAUUUUCAAAUCUACUAUCAACUCUCACAAGUCUUAUAAACAAAAAGGCACAAUUUAAAGGAGCAUUAGAUUUCACUUUGUGUGAAUCUGGUGUCAUCUGACUAACUUCGCAUCCAUGAAAUGUAGUAAAUAUUUACAAUUCCUGGUUAAUCCCUGCAGAGGUUCGCUUUUACACUGACUUUACACCUGCUCAACACAGAUGAACACGGAAGGGACAAUGGGAUGAGAAGAAUGUUUUUACCUGAGCACAUCUGUAGUGUACUGAGAGUCUAGAGGGUGCACAGUGACAGCUGACUGCUGCUGCAGGAGGUCAUCAGAAUUCUGUUGAAUAGCUGGGCUGUGGAG